rnacentral:rRNA from 1 species
AACGUAGGGGGCGAGCGUUAUCCGGAUUUACUGGGCGUAAAGCGCGUGCAGGCGGCUAGGCAGGUUGGACGUGAAAGCUCCUGGCUCAACUGGGAGAGGUCGUUCAAUACCGCCUGGCUUGAGGGCGGAAGAGGGGAGUGGAAUUCCCGGUGUAGUGGUGGAAUGCGUAGAGAUCGGGAGGAACACCUGUGGCGAAAGCGGCUCCCUGGUCCGCACCUGACGCUCAGACGCGAAAGCGUGGGGAGCGAACAGG